UACAGAGGUCUCAAGCGUUGUUCGGAUUCAUUGGGCGUAAAGGGUGCGUAGGCGGCGCGGUAAGUCGGGUGUGAAAUCUCGGAGCUUAACUCCGAAACUGCAUUCGAUACUGCCGUGCUUGAGGACUGGAGAGGAGACUGGAAUUUACGGUGUAGCGGUGAAAUGCGCAGAUAUCAGGAGGAACACCGGUGGCGAAGGCGGGUCUCUGGGCCGUAACUGACGCUGAGGAGCGAAAGCAUGGGGAGCGAACAGG
rnacentral:rRNA from 1 species